rnacentral:rRNA from 1 species
CACGUAGGCGGUUUGUCGCGUCUGCUGUGAAAUCCGGAGGCUCAACCUCCGGCCUGCAGUGGGUACGGGCAGACUAGAGUGCGGUAGGGGAGAUUGGAAUUCCUGGUGUAGCGGUGGAAUGCGCAGAUAUCAGGAGGAACACCAAUGGCGAAGGCAGAUCUCUGGGCCGUAACUGACGCUGAGGAGCGAAAGCAUGGGGAGCGAACA